CGGCGCGCAUAACACAUGCAAGUCGAGCGAGGGCUCAUUUCCCGCAAGGGAGAUGGGUUCCUAGCGGCGAACGGGUGAGUAACACGUGGGCAACCUUUCCUAUCGCGGGGGAUAACAGCGGGAAACCGCUGCUAAUACCGCAUGUCGUCACCGGUCGCAUGGCCGGUGAAGAAAGCAGCAAUGCACGAUGGGGUGGGCCCGCGGCCUAUCAGCUAGUCGGUGGGGUAACGGCCUACCGAGGCGAUGACGGGUAGCUGGUCUGAGAGGACGACCAGCCACACGGGGACUGAGACACGGCCCCGACUCCUACGGGAGGCAGCAGUGAGGAAUCUUCCGCAAUGGGCGAAAGCCUGACGGAGCGACGCCGCGUGUGGGAUGAAGUCCUUCGGGAUGUAAACCACUGUUGGAGGGGAAGACUUCGACGGUACCCUCCGAGAAAGCCCCGGCUAACUACGUGCCAGCAGCCGCGGUAAUACGUAGGGGGCUAGCGUUAUCCAGAUUUACUGGGCGUAAAGCGCGUGUAGGCGGCUGGUUAGGUGUGAUGUGAAAUCCUCGGGCUCAACCCGAGAACUGCAUUGCAAACCGGCCUGGCUAGAGUGCAGGAGAGGGA
rnacentral:rRNA from 1 species